rnacentral:rRNA from 1 species
UACAGAGACUGCGAGCGUUAUUCGGAUUCACUGGGCGUAAAGGGUGCGCAGGUGGCUAGGUGUGGUUAGGCGUGAAAGCCCGGGCUUAACCCCGGAAUUGCACCUAAAACUACUUGGCUAGAGCAUUGGAGAGGGGAGCAGAAUUCAUGGUGUAGCAGUGAAAUGCGUAGAUAUCAGGAGGAACACCUGUGGUGUAGACGGCUUUCUGGACCAUAGCUGACGCUGAGACACGAAAGCGUGGGUAGCAAACAGG